UACGUAGGGUGCGAGCGUUGUCCGGAAUUAUUGGGCGUAAAGAGCUUGUAGGUGGUUUGUCGCGUCUGCUGUGAAAAUCCGAGGCUCAACCUCGGACUUGCAGUGGGUACGGGCAGACUAGAGUGUGGUAGGGGAGACUGGAAUUCCGUGGUGUAGCGGUGGAAUGCGCAGAUAGUCAGGAGGAACACCGAUGGCGAAGGCAGGUCUCUGGGCCGAGUUACUGACACUGAGAAGCGAAAGCAUGGGGAGCGAACAGG
rnacentral:rRNA from 1 species